CUCAAUUCGACGCAACGCGAAGAACCUUACCUGGGCUUGAACUGUAGAUGACAUCCGGCGAAAGCCGGCUUCCGCAAGGACAUCUGCAGAGGUGCUGCAUGGCUGUCGUCAGCUCGUGUCGCGAGAUGUUGGGUUAAGUCCCGCAACGAGCGCAACCCUCGUCCUCUGUUGCCAUCAGGUUAUGCUGGGAACUCUAUUGAAACUGCCGUCGUAAGACGUGAGGAAGGAGGGGAUGAUGUCAAGUCAUCAUGGCCUUUAUGCCCGGGGCUACACACGUGCUACAAUGGGAAAGACAAAGAGCUGCCACCUGGUGACAGGGCGCUAAUCUCAAAAACCUUCUCUCAGUUCAGAUUGCAGGCUGCACUCGCCUGCAUGAAGCUGGAAUCGCUAGUAAUCGUAGAUCAGCAACGCUA
rnacentral:rRNA from 1 species